rnacentral:rRNA from 1 species
GAUGAACGCUGGCGGCGUGCCUAAUACAUGCAAGUCGAGCGAACAGACGAGGAGCUUGCUCCUCUGACGUUAGCGGCGGACGGGUGAGUAACACGUGGAUAACCUACCUAUAAGACUGGGAUAACUUCGGGAAACCGGAGCUAAUACCGGAUAAUAUAUUGAACCGCAUGGUCCAAUAGUGAAAGACGGUUUUGCUGUCACUUAUAGAUGGAUCCGCGCCGCAUUAGCUAGUUGGUAAGGUAAAGGCUUACCAAGGCAACGAUGGGUAGCCGACCUGAGAGGGUGAUCAGCCACACUGGAACUGAGACACGGUCCAGACUCAUACGGGAGGCAGCAGUAGGGAAUCUUCCGCAUAGGGCGAAAGCCUGACGGAGCAACGCCGAGUGAGUGAUGAAGGUCUUCGGAUCGUAAAACUCUGUUAUUAGGGAAGAACAAAUGUGUAAGUAACUAUGCACGUCUUGACGGUACCUAAUCAGAAAGCCACGGCUAACUACGUG